rnacentral:lncRNA from 1 species
CCCUAAAUAACCCAUUAUCUCAUCAUUUAUUCACUUUAUCCCCAAAUUAAAAGUAUUAUCUCUCAAAAGGGGCCAAACCCUAGCUUCAAGAAAACAAGAGCAAUUUCGAAGAAUUCACCAAGAACUUUAAGAAACUUACAAAUUAAGGUCUGUUAGGUGUUCAUCUAUGGGUUCCUUUCACCUAUCGAGUCCAUGAAUCCAUUUUCAAAAUACAAGAUUGUUGAAUUAUGAACUUUC